UACGGAGGGUGCAAGCGUUAAUCGGACUUACUGGGCGUAAAGGGCGCGUAGGCGGAUGGAUGAGUCAGCUGUGAAAGCCCAGGGCUUAACCUUGGAAUAGCAGUUGAUACUGUUUGUCUAGAGUCGAGUAGAGGGGAGCGGAAUUUCCGGUGUAGCGGUGAACUGCGUAGAUAUCGGAAGGAACACCAGUGGCGAAGGCGGCUCCCUGGACUCAGACUGACGUUGAGGCGCGAAAGCGUGGGUAGCGAACAGG
rnacentral:misc_RNA from 1 species